rnacentral:rRNA from 1 species
CAGUCGCCGCGGUAAAACGGAGGGUGCAAGCGUUAAUCGGAAUUACUGGGCGUAAAGCGCACGCAGGCGGUUUGUUAAGUCAGAUGUGAAAGCCUGGAGCUCAACUCCAGAACUGCCUUUGAGACUGCAUCGCUUGAAUCCAGGAGAGGUGAGUGGAAUUCCGAGUGUAGAGGUGAAAUUCGUAGAUAUUCGGAAGAACACCAGUGGCGAAGGCGGCUCACUGGACUGGUAUUGACGCUGAGGUGCGAAAGCGUGGGGAGCAAACAGGAUUAGAUACCCCAGUAGUCCCUGUCUCUUAUAC